rnacentral:pre_miRNA from 1 species
UCUUAUGAAUGAGCAAAGAAAGUGGUUUUUUGAGAUGGAACCACUCUUGAUGAACAUGCUGGGAG